rnacentral:rRNA from 1 species
UACGUAGGGUGCAAGCGUUAAUCGGAAUUACUGGGCGUAAAGCGUGCGCAGGCGGUUGUGCAAGACCGAUGUGAAAUCCCCGGGCUUAACCUGGGAAUGGCAGUGGAAACUAGAGAACUUGAAUCUGGCAGAGGGGGGUGGAAUGCCACGUGUAGCAGUGAAAUGCGUAGAUAUGUGGCGGAACACCGAUGGCGAAGGCAGCCCCCUGGGCUGAGAUUGACGCUCAGGCACGAAAGCGUGGGGAGCAAACAGG